CCUACGGGAGGCAGCAGUGGGGAAUAUUGCACAAUGGGGGCAACCCUGAUGCAGCGACGCCGCGUGAGUGAAGAAGCACCUCGGCUUGUAAAGCCCUGUCAGCAGGGAAGAAAAUGACGGUACCUGAACAAGAAGCCCCGGCUAACUACGUGCCAGCAGCCGCGGUCAUACGUAGGGGGCAAGCGUUAUCCGGAUUUACGGGGUGUAAAGGGGGCGUAGACGGCUGUGCAAGUCAGGAGUGAAAGCCCGGGGCUUAACCCUGGGACUGCUCUUGGAACUGUGUGGCUGGAGUGCAGGAGGGGGAGGCGGAAGUCCUGGUGUAGCGGUGAAAUGCGUAGAUAUCAGGAGGAACACCGGUGGCGAAGGCGGCCUGCUGGACUGCAACUGACGUUGAGGCUCGAAAGCGUGGGGAGCAAACAGGAUUAGAUACCCGAGUAGUC
rnacentral:rRNA from 1 species